UAAUACGUAGGGGGCUAGCGUUGUCCGGAAUCAUUGGGCGUAAAGAGCGUGUAGGCGGUCCGGUAAGUCCGUUGUGAAAGUCAAGGGCUCAACCCUUGAAUGCCGGCGGAUACUGUCGGGCUAGAGUCCGGAAGAGGCAAGUGGAAUUCCCGGUGUAGCGGUGAAAUGCGCAGAUAUCGGGAGGAACACCUAUGGCGAAGGCAGCUUGCUGGGACGGAACUGACGCUG
rnacentral:rRNA from 1 species